CUAGCAGCCGCCAAAAAAAACACCCAACCCUCGAUCCAGAUCCCUUCCACCUCCUCUCUUCUCCCGAUUCACCCCUCGUCUCCCUCCCAUCCCACGCUGCCGCCGCCGCCUCCGCCGCUCACCACCCCGGCGACCUCCCCACGGGCGAUCCCCAGCCUCUCCCUCUCCUUCUCCCCUGCAUCCGUCGCCCGCACCUUCCCUCCCAGUCCCAGAUCAACCCGCGGGUGAGCCGGCGGCCAGGACACACGCGAAGCGACGGAGGUCGCCUGUGUCUCCCCAGUCGCCCUGCCACUGCUUCCUUGCUUUUCUCUGCGGUAGGAGAAGAAAACCUUGUCGGGGUGCCCAAGCCAUGGAGCACCAUCGUCAAGUGCAGGAGAAGAAAACCCUAGACCGACCCGAGGAUUCGUCCGACAACCACCUGAGGAGGAAGCAAGCCAUGGACGGACCUCCCUUUCCUUGAAUGCUGCGCCCUCCCACCCAUCUUCCUGCAGCUGCAGGUAACCCCGGCCCCUCCCUCCCUGCGUGCACAUGCUAGUCUGGUUUUUUGUUUUCGUCACUCCUUUGUUAUAUGGAAGAAGACUUCAUGGUUAGCAUUAUUUAUUAUAACACAUUCAUAUAAGAUUUUCUUGCCACUGUAAGUAGGAAGUUAAUUUUUUUGGUCUGUUUUUUUUCUGCGGGGAUUUUGGUCUGUUUUUCUAAUAGUAUAUAUGAUCUUUCAGUCACAGUUCCAGUAUUUUAGAACUAAAUCUCUCCCCCCUAAUUAAAAUGCAGAAACGUGUUUUCUUUCAUGAUGUUUCAGUCACUGUCUUAGAAACACUAGAAAAUAUCUGUCGACAAACUUCUUCAUGGAACUAAUAUUUUUAUGCUAAUGACAAAUUGGAUUUAUAAUCUUUAACCUCGAAUCUUUAUAUGAUUUUAGUUACUACCAUAUCUGCUCUUGCAGGUCUACUAGAGUAUCCACUUCUGAAGAUAUUGAAUUGAUUCAUCACUCCAUGUUUUUCUGGGUCGUUUAGUUAUCACCCUGUUGUGCCACAAAACCAUGGCAUUCUAGAAAAUACUUUGUGAAGCCACAUGAGCUAGGGGUUGCACCGCAGGAGCAUAGCGUGUACAAGUACUAAACAUUGAAGAUUGCAUUGCAGCUCAUCAGUAUGCCUUCCUUGCAAUCUUUGAAGCCAAUUAAAUUCGGAAGUGUUAUUUUUUCUGUACAAGUUUGUAUGUGUCAAGUACUUGCUAAUUGAUGUUUUGAGGGGUGCUCAUAUACUUACUCGGCAACAUGGAAAGUUUUCACAUUUGUUCUAGCUGUCUCUAUGGGUUAGCGACUUAGCAUACAUGUUGUAAUAAGGUUUCACAUUUGCUUCUCUGACAAAUAAGGUCUGUUUUUAUUCAUAGGUAGAAGAUAGCGACAGAGUGCUGCAGGAUAAUGAGAUGUUGAAGCGGUAGACUAAAUCCAUGACACCGAAGUGCAAUUGUGGCAGAUUAUCUCUAUCUUUUCUUUUCAUUUUUCUUAUUAUUGAGUGAGAACAGAAUGAGGAACUGUGUGAUAGUACAUACAACAACUGUAGUAAAAAGAAACUUAUGUUUGCAAUUGUUAAUGACAUAGAUACUUGCAUGUUCUUUGAA